rnacentral:rRNA from 1 species
GACGAACGCUGGCGGCGUGCUUAACACAUGCAAGUCGAACGGCAAGGCCCUGCUUUUGUGGGGUGCUCGAGUGGCGAACGGGUGAGUAACACGUGAGUAACCUGCCCUUGACUUUGGGAUAACUUCAGGACACUGGGGCUAAUACCGGAUAGGAGCUCCUGCUGCCUGGUGGGCUUUGGAAAGUUUCGGCGGUUGGGGAUGGACUCGCGGCUUAUCAGCUUGUUGGUGGGGUAGUGGCUUACCAAGGCUUUGACGGGUAGCCGGCCUGAGAGGGUGACCGGCGACAUUGGGACUGAGAUACGGCCCAGACUCCUACGGGAGGCAGCAGUGGGGAAUAUUGCACAAUGGGCGGAAGCCUGAUGCAGAAACGCCGCGUGCGGGAUGACGGCCUUCGGGUUGUAAACCGCUUUCGCCUGUGACGAAGCGUGAGUGACGGUAAUGGGUAAAGAAGCACCGGCUAACUACGUG